rnacentral:pre_miRNA from 1 species
UAGUUUUGUCCUAAGUCAAACAUCUCUCGUUUUGAAAACAUAUAUCAACAUCUACAAGUUCAAAUAAAUGCACCGUCAAGUCAUAUUUCACGGAUAAUUUAAUAAUACUAAUCCGAUGCUAUAGAUGUUGAUGCAUUUUUCUGUAAACUUGGUCAAAACUAGAGAGAUUUGACUUAGGGCAAAACUAA